rnacentral:misc_RNA from 1 species
GAACAGUCUGCACUCUGCAGCUACUAUAAGCGAUAAGCGUUGCUAACGUCACAGCUCACAGGGAAUCGGGGUACUUAAAGUUAUUAAUCGUUUUAUUCAGUUUUAUUCAUUAGUCAAGCCGUCAAUUUAAUCAAGCAACAAGCCGGAAUACAAAGCCCCCAGCUAUACUACCCCAAGCUACCCUGCACCAAAGUACCCUACCCCUGGCUACCCUGCACCAGCUUACCCUACUCCCAGCUACAACAAGGAUAACAAAUACGCUGAUAUCACCAUCACCAGCCAAUCUGACGAACGCAACCUCGAUGGCAGCAGCCAAUGGAGCUAUGCCCAGUCUGACUACACUACCCGUGAAGAGUCUCAAGUUCAGAAGAAAAUGCAAGGAGUCACCUACGACUCUUACGGCAAAGAAUCGUACGGUGAAGUCCUAGGCAACACCAACAAGGGAUCCUCUUACUGGGUUGUCCCUGAAGGCCAGAAAUUCACUUUGACCUG